CUAAGACUGGAUAGGAAAUAAAAAGGCAUCUUUUUAUUUUUAAAAGACCUUUUUCGAAAGGUAUGCUUAAAGAGGGGCUUGCGCCAUAUUAGUUAGUUGGUAGGGUAAAAGCCUACCAAGACGAUGAUAUGUAGCUGGACUGAGAGGUUGAACGGCCACAUUGGGACUGAGACACGGCCCAAACUCCCACGGGAGGCAGCAGUAGGGAAUUUUCGGCAAUGGAGGAAACUCUGACCGAGCAACGUCGCGUGAACGAUGAAGUAUUUCGGUAUGUAAAGUUCUUUUAUUGAAGAAGAAAAAAUAGUGGAAAAACUAUCUUGACGCUAUUCAAUGAAUAAGCCCUGGCUAAUUAUGUGCCAGCAGCCGCGGUAAUACAUAAAGGGCGAGCGUUAUCCGGAAUUAUUGGGCGUAAAGGGUGCGUAGGCGGUUUGUUAAGUCUUUAGUUUAAUCUCAGUGCUUAACGCUGUUCUGCUAGAGAAACUGACUUACUAGAGUGAGAUAGAGGCAAGUGGAAUUCCAUGUGUCAGCGGUAAAAUGCGUAAAUAUAUGGAGGAACACCAGAGGCGUAGGCGGCUUGCUGGGUCUUUACUGACGCUGAGGCACGAAAGCGUGGGGAGCAAACAGGAUUAGAUACCCUGGUAGUCCACGCCGUAAACGAUGAGUACUAAGUGUCGGGGAAACUCGGUACUGAAGUUAACACAUUAAGUACUCCGCCUGAGUAGUACGUACGCAAGUAUGAAACUUAAAGGAAUUGACGGGAUCCCGCACAAGCGGUGGAUCAUGUUGUUUAAUUCGAAGAUACACGAAAAACCUUACCAGGUCUUGACAUACUCUGCAAAGCUGUAGAAAUACAGUGGAGGUUAUCAGGGAUACAGGUGGUGCAUGGUUGUCGUCAGCUCGUGUCGUGAGAUGUUAGGUUAAGUCCUAGAACGAGCGCAACCCUUGUCGUUAGUUACCAGCACGUUAUGGUGGGCACUUUAACGAGACUGCCAAUGAAAUAUUGGAGGAAGGUGAGGAUUACGUCAAAUCAUCAUGCCCCUUAUGAUCUGGGCUACAAACGUGAUACAAUGGCUGUUACAAAGAGUAGCUGAAACGUGAGUUUUUGGCCAAUCUCAAAAAAACAGCCUCAGUUCGGAUUGAAGUCUGCAACUCGACUUCAUGAAGUUGGAAUCGCUAGUAAUCGCAAAUCAGCAUGU
rnacentral:rRNA from 1 species